CACCUUUGUGUCAGGGAGUGGCGUUGAACCCCUUUUGCAUCAAAAGCAACUGUCACAACGGACGCUGAUGUCGCCUAUUUGCGUUGCUGUGUAAAAGCGCAUAAGGCUGCGACAUUAUCCCAUUUCGCUGGGUUCUGUAUAAAAACAUUCAACACCAGAUCUCUAGUUGAAGGAGCAUAGAAAGAAAGAGUAGCUGCUUUCACACAGAGAGCCUACAAAAUCGACCCAAACGUGCAGACAUUUUUGUAGAUUGAAAUUUUGCAGGGUUUCUGUGAGGGAGAGAGGGAGAGAGGGAGAGAGAGAGAGAGAGAGGGAGAGAGGAGGCCUUAAAUCUGAUGCAUGAAUUUGCAGGACCUCCGUGUGAAAAUAGGCUCCGCCCUCUCUUGCUCCAGAUUUAAACUUUUACACAAAGAUUCUACAAAACUGUGUAGCCGUAGUGGCAUUUGGUCCACUUGGCUUUUCACACAAAACCCAGCAAAAUGGGAUGUGACCACAACACAGCAAACCAGCAUCA